rfam:Picea glauca, whole genome shotgun sequence.
AUGUACAUGCCUACAACAUAGCGUUAAUGCAGUGAAUCCCAUUAGAACUUUGCAGUUAAGCAUGCUCUGGCUAGAGUAGUACUGGGAUGGGUGACCACCUAAGAAGUCCUAGUGUUUUACAUG